rnacentral:rRNA from 1 species
GACGAACGCUGGCGGCAUGCCUAAUACAUGCAAGUCGAACGAGCUUCCGUUGAAUGACGUGCUUGCACUGAUUUCAACAAUGAAGCGAGUGGCGAACUGGUGAGUAACACGUGGGAAAUCUGCCCAGAAGCAGGGGAUAACACUUGGAAACAGGUGCUAAUACCGUAUAACAACGAAAAUCCGCAUGGAUUUUGUUUGAAAGGUGGCUUCGGCUAUCACUUUCG